ACACGUAGUCAACCUGCCCUGGAGACAUGAACAACCCCGGGAAACUGGGAUUAAUGCAUGAUAGGUCACCUCAUCUGGAAGGAGAGAUGGCUUAAAUGGGUGCGCGGGCUUCUUCCGUGUAUUUGCUCCAGGAUGGGACUGCGUCCGAUCAGGCUGUUGGCGGGGUAAUGGCCCACCAAGCCAGUAACCGGUACGGGCCUUGAGAGAGGUGGCCCGGAGAUGGACACUGAGAGAAGGGUCCAGGUCCUACGGGGCGCAGCAGGCGCGAAACCUUCGCAAUGCGCGAAAGCGUGACGAGGUUAAUCCGAGUGGUCUCCGCUGAGGAGAUCUUUUGUCAGCUGUAAAUAGGCGGGCGAAUAAGGGGAGGGCAAGCCUGGUGUCAGCCGCCGCGGUAAUACCAGCUCCUCGAGUGGUCGGGGCGAUUAUUGGGCCUAAAGCAUCCGUAGCCGGUUCCAUAGGUCCUCUGUUAAAUCCAACCGCUUAACGGUUGACCUGCAGAGGAUACCGUGGGACUAGGAGGCGGGAGAGGCGGACGGUACUCCGCGUGUAGGGGUAAAAUCCUUUGAUCCGCGGAAGA
rnacentral:rRNA from 1 species